GUUUUUUAUCAUUGAUAUGUUGAAAGAACGAGUCGUCAAGACCCACGGUGUGGUCUCCAUGGAAAUGGCUGAGAAAGAAAGCAGUACUGGAGAAAUGACAAUUGGAGAGACGAUUAACCUUCGUCUUCGUUCACGUUCGAUUUUUCUCUCACACUGAUGUGAAUAAAUUCAAUGUUGUGUUGGUGCCAACUAAGCUAUGAUACAAGCAGGUAUAGUCAAGCCAAAAACAGGGGACAAGUUCUCUCAGGCGGCACGAGACGGCGCGGCGGUCACUAUCACCUUCCCCUCAUCGCCAUGUCAUCCCCACUUUGCAGCUGUUCGGCACUGGUGGGACUAUUUAAAAAAUGAAAAUUUAAAAUAGCAGGAAAAAAUGUAAAAUAUGGCCUUGGUUUAUGGGAUGUAUGGUAUCUACAUGACCUCAAAGUUUCAAAAAUAGAAUAAACUAUAGAAGCAUUACCCAGUCUCCAAAAA